rnacentral:rRNA from 1 species
UACGGAGGGUGCAAGCGUUAUCCGGAUUCACUGGGUUUAAAGGGUGCGUAGGCGGGUUGGUAAGUCCGUGGUGAAAUCUCCAAGCUUAACUUGGAAACUGCCGUGGAUACUAUCAAUCUUGAAUAUAGUGGAGGUGAGCGGAAUAUGUCAUGUAGCGGUGAAAUACUUAGAUAUGUCAUAGAACACCGAUUGCGAAGGCAGCUAACGAAACUAUAACUGACGCUGAGGCACGAAAGUGCGGGGAUCAAACAGG